ensembl:lncRNA
GUCCCCACUGUAUGUGUUUACCACUAUGACAGGGUAGGUCCCCACUGUAUGUGUUUACCACUAUGACAGGGUAGGUCCCCACUAUGUGUUUACCACUAUGACUGGGUAGGUCCCCACUGUAUGUGUUUACCACUAUGACAGGGUAGGUCCCCACUGUAUGUGUUUACCACUAUGACAGGGUAGGUCCCCACUAUGUGUUUACCACUAUGACAGGGUAGGUCCCCACUGUAUGUGUUUACCACUAUGACAGGGUAGGUCCCCACUAUGUGUUUACCACUAUGACUGGGUAGGUCCCCACUGUAUGUGUUUACCACUAUGACAGGGUAGGUCCCCACUAUGUGUUUACCACUAUGACUGGGUAGGUCCCCACUAUGUGUUUACCACUAUGACAGGGUAGGUCCCCACUGUAAGCCUAAUAUUAAAGUAGUCUCGAGGUAUUGCUCGCCCGAGGUAGAGUACCUCAUGAUAAGCUGUAGACCACACUGUCUACCAAGAGCGUUCUCAUCGCCGUCUACAAACCGUUGCUGGUGCUAAGACCGCACUCCGUAGCCGAUGUGAGCAAGACCUUUAAACAGGCCGCGGGGCCAGACGGGUUACCAGGACGUGGACUCGGCGCAUGCGUGGACCAACUGGCAAGUGUCUUCACUGACAUUUUCAACCUCUACCUGACUGAGUCUGUAAUACCUAC